GACGAACGCUGGCGGCGUGCUUAACACAUGCAAGUCGAACGGAAAGGCCCUGCUUUUGUGGGGUGCUCGAGUGGCGAACGGGUGAGUAACACGUGAGUAACCUGCCCUUGACUUUGGGAUAACUUCAGGAAACUGGGGCUAAUACCGGAUAGGAGCUCCUGCUGCAUGGUGGGGGUUGGAAAGUUUCGGCGGUUGGGGAUGGACUCGCGGCUUAUCAGCUCGUUGGUGGGGUAGUGGCUUGCCAAGGCUUUGACGGGUAGCCGGCCUGAGAGGGUGACCGGCCACAUUGGGACUGAGAUACGGCCCAGACUCCUACGGGAGGCAGCAGUGGGGAAUAUUGCACAAUGGGCGGAAGCCUGAUGCAGCAACGCCGCGUGCGGGAUGACGGCCUUCGGGUUGUAAACCGCUUUCGCCUGUGACGAAGCGUGAGUGACGGUAAUGGGUAAAGAAGCACCGGCUAACUACGUG
rnacentral:rRNA from 1 species